rnacentral:lncRNA from 1 species
CGGUGGUGAUCAGAUCAGUGUUGUUGCUGCUGAGUCUCAACAGCAGCAGCAGUAUCGACCGCCCCCACUGCGUCCGGAGGUUUUCAGCAAGGAAGAGAUUCAGUCUUUUAACAGCUCCAGCACUAGCUCGGUAAUUCGCCGUUCCCCUUCGUGUAUAAUAUUUAAGUUAUGGGUUAUUAAUUUCAUGAAGCAAUUUUAAACGCUAUGAAUUUACGAAUUAAAAUUUAAAUAAUUUUUUUUAAUAUUUAAUAGUGAUAAUUAGAUUAUUUAGGAUUUAUGAUAUGUUUUUUUACUUACCAAUAGUAUUAAUCAAUUGUAUUGAUCAUAAUCAAAUAAUCAAAUCGUCAUUCGAGACUUACUAGAUAGACUUAUAAAGAAAAAUUAUUUAAAUAAAAUACUUUCAUAUAGUUCAGUGACUAUUUUAUAAUUUUUUAAAAUUAAGUGAUCAAAACAUAAAUUUAUUAAUAGUUUAAUGACCAUUAAGUAUAGGUUGCCUUAAUAUUUAUAAUUAAAAUUAGUCAUUUAAAUUCUUUUUUAAGAAAGAAAAUACGAAUAAACGUGUUAAAGAAGUCAUUAUUGAUAAAGAUAAAAGUAUUGGUCUUUGAGUAUUUAGAUUCGAAUCUUAUCAUACAUAAUUACGAUGUGAUGAAUCUUUAAUUUCAUCACAUGAAUAUCUAUUUUUUCGUGGGCUAUAUUUUGUAAUAAUUUGAUUUUCACAUUAUAUUGUGAGAGUUUAUUUUAUUUAUGAUAGUAAAGACUUAAAACAAACAAAUUUUAAUAUUGUUAGCAAAUGUUGAGUUCUUCAAACUUUCUAAUUCUAUACAAAUUACCAUGUGUGCGAAAUGGAAAAUUAUUCUUUAGACAAAAAAUUAUAAUUUCACUUAAAAUGUUAGAAUUUUAAUUUAAUUAUUUUAAAAAUUAUAAAAAUAUAAUGGUGAAAUUGUAUUUUAAUUUUCGUAAAAAAAUAUAAUUUAAUCUUGAUCCCUUUAAAAAACUUAUGGCUUUUGUCUCUACAUUUUUCAAUUUAAAUUUAUUCUAAUUUAAAUCAUAACACGUGUGGGUUCUAUGUAAAUUUAUUUUAAUUCAAGUUCAGCUAUAUUUUAAUUAUCAAUUUUAUUAAUUUGUGUAUAAUAAUAACCUGAUCCUACUCGUAAUUAAAUAUUCAUAUAACUACGGAUGUAGUGAUUAUAUUUGUAAUUUUCAUUGAUUUUUAAAUUAUUUUUUAUUGUUCGGAUUUAGUUUAGAGAUGUUGGAGUAAGUGAGAAGAAAGGAAGGAAUGAUAAAAUAAAAGAGAAAUUAACGGGUAAAAAUUAUGAGGAGGAGGAGCAAUUUCAUACCACAACUAACGCUGCCAAAACCUCAAUCGCAACCACUACGGCGGCACCGCCUCGACAGCCAUACGUUGAGCAAGAGGGGAUGUGUUUGAGGGAGAAGAUAAAGGCGAAAUU